rnacentral:lncRNA from 1 species
CGACUAACCAUGAAUGUUUUGCAUCCCUUAUUAGGUUUCAUCAGACCAUGUUGAACAUAAUUUGAAAAGUGUCAAGAUAAUGAGAAAAAAUAUUUUUUUUCAAAUUGAUACCUUGAAAUAUUCAUUUUAUUUCGCAAGUCUUCAAUACAUAGCAACUCUCUUUUGCUGGUAAACAGAAUAAAAGGUCUUUCCACGUAAUAUGCAAUGUAAUUUAUUCAGGUAUCAGAGUCCAUCAGCUUUAGGAGAUUUCAAUCAACUUCAAGGAAUUGGUUUCACGGUCUCAAAUCGAGGACGAUCUGUGGGAUAUGGGCUCCAACCAUGACGCCAGCUGGGCUUAACUAAUGGCCUCCCUGACGGUGGUCGCCAGAUGGGCUUAACUAAUGGCCUCGCUGACGCUGGUACGUUGUCCUUGCUCCCAAAUUCAUCUGCAAUUUCAAAAGUAUAGGAUAAAAAUAAAUGAUCGCAGUUUCUUUCACAUUGGAACAGAAUCUACAAUAUGUUAUAGAUCGCAGGCACAGUAUCAUUAUCAAUUUAAAAAAUCUAAACAUGUGCCUGUAUUUCAUUUCGAAGUGCAUUAAUAGUAAGAAAAUUAAUUGAAUUCGUAUUUUCUUAUUCAGUUCUUUAUUAUGUCAAUUCACCCUUUGAAUUUUUAAAACUGCUCUAUUUUAGCCACUCUGUUAACUUGCCUCGACCACCUCAAAGAGAUUAACUAAAGCAAAUCGAUGGUAAUAGUGUAGUUCUUCUUCAUCUUAUUUUUCUUUUAUUUUUAUUAUUUUUUGGAAAAUGGUGCACUUCAAUCCUAGAUAGCUAUCAAAAAGAAAAUUAAAAAAAAUGAUGGAAUGAGCAAACUAAAAUUUUGAAUAAUUUUGUCAAGUCUAAUACACUUUAUCCUUUGAUCCAUUAAUUAAUAAACUGAUUUAACAACCAUGGGAACCUAAUCUAUUACCCAAUCCAUUAAAUGUGCAAGUAAAAAUAUCGCUAAGAACUUUAUAUAUCUAAAGUUUCUUCAUGGGAAAUAUACAUAUGCGACCAGACUCGUUUAAACUUUGGUUACAAAACCUGCCAUCCAUAUGGGUUGGGGAUUUGGGCAGUAACAGUUUUGACUAUGUUCAAUUAUUUUCUGUUAUUGUGAUUCUUGUAAAAUUUGGUACGUACAUGCACAUAUGGUUGUAUACCUUAAAAGAUUUUAUACACAUAUAUAAAACAAAAUCCACAUAUAAUAAAAUAAUAUAAAUAUACACCAAAUCAUAUAAAAUAGACAAUAAAUUCACACCGCCAUACAUGAACACAACCUUACCUAAUGGGUCUCAUGGGUGGAAGAUGUAAACAUGAAUAAUAUGUCAAGAAAGGCAUCACAAAAGAUAAAGGCUCUUAGAUGAUGAGCACAUAUAUACAAGCAAUCUUUUUUUUCUUUUUUCUGUUUUCCAAUAAUGAAUAUCAGUAAUCCAAAAAAUAUGAAAGACAGAAUUUUGGAACUACAAAGCGGGACUUACUUGUUCCUAGGAUCUUUCUCGCUGUUGCAGGUACAAUGGAUUGAGUUGAGAGUAAGAAGAGAAAGAAAAGUACACUGAUCAGAGCUUUGUUGUUGCUAGCCAUCGUUUGUUGACUACAAAGGGUUAUGAGAACUUAGGAUUGGUUCUAUUCUAUAAUUCCUUUCUUGACGAUGAUGGUAUGCAACGAGCCAUAUCCUUUUAUAGCAGUUUCCUACCGGACCCAGUUUCUCACCAAUUACAUUUGUCGAGAUAGAUCCGCGGUCCGAGUUACACUCAUAAAAGGUGUGCAAUAGGGCACCAAUUUA